rnacentral:rRNA from 1 species
GACGAACCGUGCGAACGUUGUUCGGAAUCACUGGGCUUAAAGGGCGCGUAGGCGGGCUGCCAAGUCCGGGGUGAAAUCUUUCGGCUCAACCGGAAAAGUGCCUUGGAUACUGGCGGCCUUGAGGGAGGUAGGGGUAUGUGGAACUUCCGGUGGAGCGGUGAAAUGCGUUGAUAUCUGGAGGAACACCGGUGGCGAAGGCGACUACCUGGACCAGCACUGACACUGAGGCACGAAAGCGUGGGGAGCAAACAGG